rnacentral:rRNA from 1 species
GACGAACGCUGGCGGCGUGCUUAACACAUGCAAGUCGAACGGAAAGGCCCUGCUUUUGUGGGGUGCUCGAGUGGCGAACGGGUGAGUAACACGUGAGUAACCUGCCCUUGACUUUGGGAUAACUUCAGGAAACUGGGGCUAAUACCGGAUAGGAGCUCCUGCUGCAUGGUGGGGGGUGGAAAGUUUCGGCGGUUGGGGAUGGACUCGCGGCUUAUCAGCUUGUUGGUGGGGUAGUGGCUUACCAAGGCUUUGACGGGUAGCCGGCCUGAGAGGGUGACCGGCCACAUUGGGACUGCGAUACGGCCCAGACUCCAACGGGAGGCAGCAGUGGGGAAUAUUGCGCAAUGGGCGGAAGCCUGAUGCAGCAACGCCGCGUGCGGGAUGACGGCCUUCGGGUUGUAAACCGCUUUCGCCUGUGACGAAGCGUGAGUGACGGUAAUGGGUAAAGAAGCACCGGCUAACUACGUG